rfam:Arabis alpina cultivar Pajares Aa.chr3_contig_2304, whole genome shotgun sequence.
UAGUUGUAUAAUUAAUGAUAGAUUAAGACAACUAGGGUUUUUAGUUUUAGCUUGUGGUUUGGUAUUUUGAUAGAAGAAAGAUGCCUCUUCUUUCAGCAGCAAGAUCCAUUCUUGGUAGCUUUGUUCUGGAGGCACAUAU